CCGGGAUUAACCACAAAUCCGCGU
rnacentral:siRNA from 1 species